AGCGAGACUAGAGUCACACCCUGACAGCUGCUCAUUGUCCUGGUGUGCUAGAGUCCUCGCAGAGCAAGUCCUCUCUGCUUAUUCAUUGGCUGUAGCCUCACGUGGCCCAGCCAAUCACCGGCUCAGAUACACUC